UGUGGCUCAGUGGUAGAGCACUUGUCUGGCAUGCAGGAAGCCUUGGGUUUGAUCCUCAACA
rnacentral:tRNA from 1 species